rnacentral:rRNA from 1 species
AGAGUUUGAUCCUGGCUCAGGACGAACGCUGGCGGCGUGCCUAACACAUGCAAGUCGAGCGAGUGAAUCUCCUUCGGGAGUGAAGCUAGCGGCGGACGGGUGAGUAACACGUGAGCAACCUGCCUCUAAGAACGGGAUAGCUUCUGGAAACGGAUGGUAAUACCGUAUAAUGUAUUGGGAAGGCAUCUUUCUAAUACCAAAGAUUUAUCGCUUAGAGAUGGGCUCGCGUCUGAUUAGCUAGAUGGUGAGGUAACGGCCCACCAUGGCGACGAUCAGUAGCCGGACUGAGAGGUUGAACGGCCACAUUGGGACUGAGACUCGGCCCAGACUCCUACGGGAGGCAGCAGUGGGGGGUAUUGCACAAUGGGGGAAACCCUGAUGCAGCGAUGCCGCGUGGAGGAAGAAGGUUUUCGGAUUGUAAACUCCUGUCGUAAGGGACGAAGAAGUGACGGUACCUUACAAGAAAGCUCCGGCUAACUACGUGCCAGCAGCCGCGGUAAUACGUAGGGAGCGAGCGUUGUCCGGAAUUACUGGGUGUAAAGGGAGCGUAGGCGGGAUGGUAAGUCAGAUGUGAAAACUAUGGGCUCAACCCAUAGACUGCAUUUGAAACUGCUGUUCUUGAGUGAAGUAGAGGUAAGCGGAAUUCCUAGUGUAGCGGUGAAAUGCGUAGAUAUUAGGAGGAACAUCGGUGGCGAAGGCGGCUUACUGGGCUUUUACUGACGCUGAGGCUCGAAAGCGUGGGGAGCAAACAGGAUUAGAUACCCUGGUAGU